GACAGAGGUGCCAAGCGUUAGGCGGAAUCACUGGGCUUAAAGCGUGUGUAGGCGGAUGCCUAAGUACCUUGUGAAAUCCCACGGCUCAACCGUGGAACUGCUUGGUAUACUGGGUGUCUUGAGCCAUCUAGGGGCUACCGGAACAAAUGGGUGGAGCGGUGAAAUGCGUAGAUAUCAUUUGGAACGCCAAUGGUGAAAACAGGUAGCUGGGGAUGUGCUGACGCUGAGACACGAAAGCCAGGGGGAGCAAAACGGGG
rnacentral:rRNA from 1 species